AUAGAGGUUGAGGUAGAAUGCAGGGCACGGAGAUGAACAAGGCCUGAGGCAUGGCAAAAUAAUGCACAAGAAGGCCAACAGGGCCUGCCAGAAAAGACAUGUGCAGGAAAAGGAGGACAGGAGCACGAGUCCUGCCCGGUCAAAAUGGAGAAUGCAUUUAUAAAUGUCUUUCAGAAUUCAUCUGAAAGGGUCAGGAGAAGGAGUCUCUCUCUACAACACACCAAGACAUCUCUGCCCAAAGGGAAGAAUUCAUCUGACCAGGGAGAACAGGGAAGAGCUUCUUCAGACUUCUUUAUCCUAUCCUACAAGAUCCCUGUCUUUAGCUGCAUGAAUUGUUCCUAGGUCCUUUUACCACAGCCUGCCUGAGCAACUAAAUCAUUAUGAAAACAGUCUAUUCUCUCCCUUCUACUCCUAGGUCUUUUUGGAGAAAAUCAGACAACAGUAUGUGUUUACUGAAAGGUCAUCGCACAGAUCUUUCUCUCCUCUCAAGGGCAGUCCCAAACUUCCCCUAGCUUCUUUCCUCACUUAAGCUGUCUCUAAUCUCUUGCUUUCAUUCUCGGCAGAAACCUAGUUUUUAAAUUUGUGUUAACAAUGACAAAUUUGAUUCCUAAGUAAAUUUGAUUCCUAAUAAUGACAAAUUUGUGUAGAGCAAAAAGCUUUGAAUGCUUUAUUUUGUUUACACAUGGCAAUAGCUCAGUGAGUUAGAGUAACUAUCCUUUUUUCACCAAAAAGGAAACAGAUUCUGUGAGAAGUUAAAAUGACUUGUCCCAUGAGUGUACAGUAUAUUUCGAAUAACCAAUUACCCAAAUUUAUUGGCUUAAAAUAAUAAUUCUUUACUAUUUCUCAAGACAUAUGGGUUCACUGGCUGAAUCUACUGCUCUGGGCUGGAAUGACUCAGCUCUUGUCAAGUGGGAUUUGGGGACAAUUCAGCUUUGCUUCCUGUAGCUUCUUACCUCCUUCUAUCAGGUUUAUUCUCAUAGAAAUUACAGGUGCUCAAGAAAGGAAGGAGAAACACCCAACUGCUUUUCCAAACUCUAUUUGCUAUCAUUUGAACCAAAGCAAAGCACAUGACUGAUCCCAGAAUCAUAAUGAGAGGAGACUACAGAAUGCUGGGCAAAAAUAACCCAUUAAUUUGGACUAUAAAUGAAACUUAUCUACCUCAUAUAGCUAAUAAGUUGAAUAAAUAAGUUUCAAGAUCAAAUCUCUUUCAACACAGAGUUCAUUUUCUUUACUAUAACAGAACAACGUAGACUAGGUAAUUCAUAAAAAAAGUUGAGCUAUAUCAUGCCUCAGUUAAGUAUUCAAAAGAAUUAAAGUUAAAUUAUAGUAUUCCAUACUAUAGCAAUAUAUGCAUACCUGUGUUUAUAGAAGAACAAUUCCAAUAGCCAAAUUGUGGAAACAACCUAGGUGUCCAUCAAUAGGUAAAUAGAUAAAGAAAAUAUGUAUGUAUACACAAUGGAUUUCUAG